rnacentral:piRNA from 1 species
UUCAGGGCAGUGGCCGGGAAUUUGCUGUG